GAUGAACGCUGGCGGCGUGCCUAAUACAUGCAAGUCGAGCGGACGGACGAGGAUUUUGCUUGUCUGAUGUUAGGGGCGGGCGGGUGAGUAACACGUGGAUACCCUACCUAUAAGACUGAGAUCAUUACGGGAAAGCGGAGAUAAUAGCGGAUGAGAUUUUGAACCGCAUGGUUCAAAAGUGAAAGACGGUCUUGCUGUCACUAAUAGAUGGAUCCCGGCUGCAUUAGCUAGUUGGUACGGUAACGGCUUACCAAGGCGACGCUGCGUAGCCGACCUGAGAGGGUGAUCGGCCACACGGGAACUGAGACACGGUCCAGACUCCUACGGGAGGCAGCAGUAGGGAAUCUUCCGCAAUGGGCGAAAGCCUGACGGAGCAACGCCGCGUGUGUGAUGAAGGUCUUCGGAUCGUAAAGCUCUGUUAGUAGGGAAGAACAUAUGUGUAAGUAACUGUGCACAUCUUGACGGUACCUAAUCAGAAAGCCACGGCUAACUACGUG
rnacentral:rRNA from 1 species